CCUACGGGAGGCAGCAGUGGGGAAUAUUGCACAAUGGGGGGAACCCUGAUGCAGCAACGCCGCGUGGGUGAAGAAGUACUCCGGUAUGUAAAGCCCUGUCAGCAGGGAAGAAAAUGACGGUACCUGACCAAGAAGCCCCGGCUAACUACGUGCCGGAACCCUCGGUAAUAUGAGGGGGGCAGGCGUUAUCCGGUUUUACUGGGUGUAAAGGGGGCGUAGACGGCAAGGCAAGUCUGGAGUGAAAGCCCGUGGCCCAACCACGGGACUGCUUUGGAAACUGUGUGGCUGGAGUGCAGGAGGGGUAAGCGGAAUUCCUGGUGUAGCGGUGAAAUGCGUAGAUAUUAGGAGGAACCCCGGUGGCGAAGGCGGCUUACUGGACUGUAACUGACGUUGAGGCUCGAAGGCGUGGGGAGCAAACAGGAUUAGAUACCCCGGUAGUC
rnacentral:rRNA from 1 species